GCUACGGGAGGCAGCAGUGAGGAAUAUUGGUCAAUGGACGGAAGUCUGAACCAGCCAUGCCGCGUGCAGGAAGACGGCUCUAUGAGUUGUAAACUGCUUUUGUACAAGGGUAAACCAGAAUACGUGUAUUCAGCUGAAAGUACUGUACGAAUAAGGAUCGGCUAACUCCGUGCCAGCAGCCGCGGUAAUACGGAGGAGCCAAGCGUUCUCCGGAUGUAUUGGGUUGAAAGGGUGCGUAGGCGGAUUGAUAAGUUAGCGGUGCAAUGUCCGCGCUUAACUCGGGAACUGCCUCUCAUACUGUUGCUCUAGAGAGUAGGUGCGGUAGUCGGACUGUCUGGUGUAGCCGUGAAAUGCUUAGAGAUCAUACAGAACACCGAUUGCGACGGCAGCUUACCACUCUAUAUCUGACGUUGAGGCACGAAAGCGUGGGGAGCAAACAGGAUUAGAUACCCCUGUAGUC
rnacentral:rRNA from 1 species